rnacentral:rRNA from 1 species
GACGAACCGUGCGAACGUUGUUCGGAAUCACUGGGCUUAAAGGGUGCGUAGGCGGGUUCCCAAGUCCGGGGUGAAAUCUUUCGGCUUAACCGGAAAAUAGCCUCGGAUACUGGGAGUCUUGAGGGAGGUAGGGGCAGCUGGAACUUCCGGCGGAGCGGUGAAAUGCGUUGAUAUCGGAAGGAACGCCGGUGGCGAAAGCGAGCUGCUGGACCUCAUCUGACGCUGAGGCACGAAAGCCAGGGGAGCAAACGGG